CUGAAAUAACCUUGUCACAUCAAUAGAUUACUGAGUAACACAGUUACUCAGCCCCUGAAUACAGUUUAAAAGGACUGUACAAUUAUGCUAGACAUAGCACAAAGUCAGUAUUAUUCAUACAUUUACAAUGAUUUACAAAUUUUCCAUCUUGAGGUCCAGACUCUGUUUAUGUACGUUUCUACUGCACAUUUAAAUUAUUACAUAUUUUCUUUAAAGUUGCACUAGUCAAUAUUUUUGGAUCAACAGUGAUCAAAUAUGUAAUGUGAAAGAUGUUACUCAGAGUUAUGAACCUACACAGAAUAAUCAUCCUGCAGCUGUAUACAGUUCUACAGAGGUUUUUUAGGGUCUUUUAGGCCCCGUGUCCACCAAAGCGUUUUUUCUGACGCCAGCGUCUUUUGUCAAUUCAUUCCAAUGGGAGCAGCGCGUUUUUCCAAGCUGGUAAAAACGGCAGGAGCGUGACGAGGUGCUGAGUGUUUUUUCCGCGCCGGGCCCUGAGCGUUUUUUUCAGGUCGCCGAGAGUUGAAAAAUGUUAAACUUUGGGGAAAAACGCUGCGCUCGUCACUAUCACUUUUCACCCAGACGUCCAAUCACAGUGCAGGAGGGGCGAGACAAAUGCCACACCGUAGCAACGGUUACUAUCCUGCUCAUCGACUGCUCAUCAACAAUGGAGGAGAAGUUGAUAUUGCUGGUCUCGGAGUAUCCUUGUCUCUAUGAGAUGACAUCCGCUGACUAUCACAAUGUUAACAUGAAGAGCGAUGCGUGGAGGAACAUUUCAUUCGCCAUGGGUCUACCAGACAACAGAUGACAUUACACUUUCAUCAGAGCCCCUGUCCCUGUCCCAGACCCAAACCCAGGCCAAUACCGCACAGCCCAGAUCUCCUGACUCCCCUGAUGAUCUGCCACUCUGCACACCCAGAAGACCUGCACGUUAUACUCCAAAGAGAAGUGCUGAGCCAGUUGUGUCUGAGUAUCAGCGCUGUGUCCUGAAUGCCCUGGAAAAUAAGCCCGAUGAUGAGGAGCAUUUUCUUUCAAGUUUAGCUGGGGCUUUGAGACGCCUUCCUCCCCGCAGCCAAUCAGAGGUUAAAGUAAAAUUUCAACAAAUAUUACAUGAAGCAGAAUUUGGCCAUCAAUAAAACACUUGCAUACCUUUUACAGACGACUUAAAUAAAUAAUGAUUUAAAAUAA